AGUUUGAUUCCAUGAGCAGGGAAGGCCAGACGAGCCCUUCCAGUGAACCUCUGUGGACGCUAUCAUGACAAGCUGCUGCCCUUCGCUGAAAUAACCCAGCGGACCCGAAAACCAGAUGCCAGACAAAGCUAUUUUUAUGUCUUGCAAACCUAACCCAAGCAACAGCUGCCUGUUGAAAGAGUGAUCGUGGCCUUCACCACAAUGAACACGAGAAACUGCUCAGUCCUGGCGAAUUCUGGAUCUAUCACCCAGGCCAGAGUGCAGUGGCAUGAUCUUGGCUCACUGCAACCUCUGCCUCCCAGGCUGAAGCCAUCCUCCUACCUCAGCCUCCAGAGUAGCUGGGACUACAGGCGUGUGCCACCAUGCCCAGCUAAUUUUUGGUUUUUUGGGUUUUUUUUUUUUCUGUAGAGACAGGAUCUCACUUUGUUGCCCAGGCUGAUCUUGAACUCCUGAGUAAGAGCUUUGUCCUAAUAAUUAAUAAUACCAAUAAUGCCUUCCACUAUAAGCAUCUUGUUUACAAGUAUCCCAUUUCACACAUGAGAAUCCAAUGUCCAGAGAGGUGGAGUGACUUGUUUGAAGUCACACAGCUUGGAGGUAUACAUGGCAUUCGACCCUGGGCUACCUGACUCUAAAGCUAGAUUUGUCAUAGGCGGAGGUGACCAGGUCGUUGAUUCAAUUGUUUAAUGGGCUACCCUAUUGGAUUGGUGGAAUCAGAGCCUGAAAAAGACACCCAAAAGAGGGUCAGCAGUUUUCAAACUUACAACAUGUCAGAGCAUCUGGGUCUUCAGGGAAUCCCAGCCAGUACUGCUAGAGUAAGCAAAAGAUUACUACAUCUCUGGUUUUGUGCCAAAUCCCAAACCAUUCCAUCCUAGAGUACGGGUGUACAGCAUUCAAGGCCUCUGAUUUUGGAACAACUUCAGGGAGCAAAACAUAUUUAAGAGAAGCCUGUACAUUUCAGCUUCUCCCUCAGCCAGGAAAUUACUCAAAUGAUUGAGUCUCCCAGGGCCCUCUGAGAGUAUAGACCCAGAAAGAUGCACAUCCACAAUGCCUGGUACACUGUAGGUGCUCAAUUAAUGCCUGUUGAGACAAACCAAACUUCUUUUUUCUUUCUUUUUAUUUUUUAUUUUUUUUGUGUGUGUAGAGACAAGGUCUCUCUCUGUCACCCAGGCUGGAGUCCAGUGGCACAAUUGUAACUGACAGCAGCCUCGAACUCCUGGGAUCAAGCAAUCCUCCUGUUUUAGCCUCCCAAAUAGCUGGGACUACAGGUGCACACCACGACAUCUAGCUAAUCUUUUUUAUAUUUUGUAGAGAUAGGGUCUUUCUGUGUUGCCCAGGCUGGUCUUGAACUCCUGUCCUCAAGCAAUCUUCCCACCUCUUCCUCCCAAAGUUCUGGGAUUACAGGCAUAAGCCACCAUGCCUGGUUCAGAUCAAAUUCUUGAUGUGGUGAAUCUGCCAUCCCAAGCAAAACUGGCCUGAAUGGUUCCAGAUCGGCCCCUGCCUUGAAGGAAGGUAAGAGGAGCCGUUUUUCCACCUCCAAUGGAAAACAUGUUCCGCAGUCUAAAGGCCUAUCAGUCUGAUCUGUCUGGCUAGCCUCUCACUUGAAUUAUCCCUGCAGAAAUUGCUGAAGUCCACUGUUCAGCUCUCCUAAGUUCUGGUCCUUGCCAUCUUCACAGGUGGAAUCCUAUCCUUCUUCGCUUCUCCCCCUGCUGUGCUGUGAAUUUGCCUUCUUCAGCCAUUCACUCAUUCAUCAGCAGGUAUUUCCUGAGCACCUGCCAGGUGUGGUACACGCUGCUGGAGACAUGGAGCAAACAGGCAGGAAUGGCCCAGCCCUGCCCUCGUGGGUUUAUGAUCUCACUGGGAAGCAAAUAAAAUCACAAACCUGAGGGCACAACCAGGAGAAUCGCCAUGAACUCGUGAUGGAUCAGGUUUUGCACCAAAAUGUAAGUCAUUUUUGAGUGUGAAACCAAGAACCCUCUGGGCGACACAGUGCAUUGGUUAGAGCACGAGAUCUGGAUUCAGGUUCUAUUUCUGCUGUUCAUUUCCUGUGUGACCUUGAACAAGUUUCCUCACCUCUCUGAGCUUGGGUUUUCUCAUGUAUACAAUGAUAAGGAAGUCUUCCUCAUACAGUUUUGGAGUUUAAGUAAACUAAUACAGAUCAAGUCAUUGAUGAAAGAGUGUGCUACCAUUUAUGGUGCUCUCCAUCAUGUACCAAGCAUUGCGCUAAGUGAUUUACCUAAGAUCAAGUUCAAGCCACUGUUAUAUCUCACUUGGGCCACUGCGAAAGUCUCUUGACCUGUCUCUCUGGCCUGGUCUUGUCCCUCCAGUUCAUCAUGCACAGAGAAGCCAAGGCGAUCUUGUAAAAAUUCCACAGACAUCGUUAGUGUCCAGAUUAUAAUGUCUCUAAGAACAUUUCCCACUGAAAGGAACCAGGACUCCUUGGAGAAAUGUCUGAUUCUAGGGCUGGGGCAGAAAUGUACAUGAUGAGCUGAGAUAUCUUCUUGCCUGAAAACAAGGACCCUCCAGGGGCAUGGGCUACCAAAGAGAGGCUGCAAACGGAUGAUGACUGCAGUGGAUUGAAACACAUCAAAAUAUCUUUAAAAACCAUAAGGUCGUAACACCCCUCAAAACAAAAACAACUCGUUGAUACUUUUCAUGGCUGCUAGGGCUACUCAUUACUCUGAAAAUAGACUUAGCCCCGCCCACACACAAAAAAAGGACAUAAUCAACCAUGUACUCUGCCUUUCAGGGACUGUAUUUCAGGGUAAGCAAAUGCUUGAGGAAAGUCGUGUGGUAGAGAACAAUGAGAGUUGGGCCGGGCACAGUGGCUCAUGCCUGUAAUGCCAGCUCUUUGGAAGGCCAAGGCGGGAGUAUCGUUUGAGCUCAGGUUUGAGACCAGCCUGGGCAAUGUAGUGAAACCUCAUCUCUAUCAAAAAUACAUAAAAUUAGCCAGGCAUGGUGGCGAGCGCCUGUGGUCCCAGCUACUCAAGAGGCUGAGGCAGGAGGAUCGCUUGAACCUGACAAGUUGAGGUUGCAGUGAGCCAAGAUUGUGCCACUGCACUCUAGCCUGGAUGACAGAGAGAGACCCUGUCUCAAAACAAACAAACAAAACCAGAAACAACAACAACAACAACAAAAAACAACAAGAGCUAAUAAGCACAGAAAGAUUGACGGAAGUAGAAAAUCACUAUAGUAACGAAACAAUAAUCUGGGCUUUGCUCAUCAGCAGGCAGUAAAGUCAUUCGGCAAGAGGGUGAUAGGGAACUUUACGACGGAGGUCAGACUGAUACCCUAAACUCACUAAUGAACAAAAAUCACUAAAAGUGGGGUAACUGAACUUUAUGUUCUUGACGUGAUGCAAGAGAAAACAGAAAAACACCUUCAAAGUAUUCCUGCUAAGGAUCUGCACCUGAAUUGAUUCAAGCCUCUUGACCUAGUACUUAUUUAUAGGUAUAGAAGAACAUGUUAGAUGACACUUGGAAGAUGCAAUCAGCCAAAUCCAGAAUAUGGAAAAUUCUACGGGACAAAUGACCCAGUUUCAAUAAGUAACUGGCAUUUAAUAAAGGGAGUUGCUGAUUAUUACAGAUGAGGAGACUUAAGAGAAACCCUGUGGGUCCUGAUUUGAAUAAAACCAUUCAAAGACAUCUUUGAGCCACCUGGAGGACAGUCAGCAUGAACUAGGUGAACUCUACUUUGAAGUAACAAGUCACUGAAUCACAAAUUCAGAGGAAGCAUGAGAACAAGGUAUUCCAGGCCGGGUGCAGUGGCUCAUGCCCGUAAUCCCAGCACUUUGGGAGGCCAAGGUGAGCAGAU
rnacentral:lncRNA from 1 species